rnacentral:rRNA from 1 species
GAUGAACGCUGGCGGCGUGCCUAAUACAUGCAAGUCGAGCGGACGGACGAGACGCUUGCUUGUCUGAUGUUAGCGGCGGACGGGUGAGUAACACGUGGAUAACCUACCUAUAAGACUGGGAUAACUUCGGGAAACCGGAGAUAAUACCGGAUAAUAUUUUGAACCGCAUGGUUCAUAAGAGAAAGACGGUCUUGCUGUCACUAAUAGAUGGAUCCGCGCUGCAUUAGCUAGUUGGUAGGGUAACGGCUUACCAAGGCAACGAUGCGUAGCCGACCUGAGAGGGUGAUCGGCCACACUGGAACUGAGACACGGUCCAGACUCCUACGGGAGGCAGCAGUAGGGAAUCUUCCGCAAUGGGCGAAAGCCUGACGCAGCAACGCCGCGUGUGUGAUGAAGGUCUUCGGAUCGUAAAGCUCUUUUAUUAGGGAAGAACAUAUGUGUAAGUAACUGUGCCCAUCUUGACGGUACCUAAUCAGAAAGCCACGGCUAACUACGUG